rnacentral:rRNA from 1 species
GAGGUCCCGCCUGCCCAGUGAUCUAUUUCAACGGCCGCGGUAUUAUGACCGUGCAAAGGUAGCGUAAUCACUUGUCUUUUAAAUAAAGACCUGUAUGAAUGGCAAAACGAAAGUUCAACUGUCUCUUUAAUCCUAUCAAUAAAAUUAAUUUUUCCGUGCAGAAGCGGAAAUAAAUUUAUAAGACGAGAAGACCCUAUGGAGCUUAAAACAUAAAAUUAAUUAUAUUUAUAUAUUAACCGACAGGUAAAAGAUAAAUUUGUAUAAUAUAAUUUAAGUUUUGGGUUGGGGCGACCACGGAAGAAAAGAAAUCCUCCGAGAUAAACAAUUUAGAAAUACAUUUCGAAAACUAAGACAUUUAUUAUAAAUGAUCCACUUAAGUGACCAAC